GGAGGUAGUGACAAUAAAUCACAAUGCGGGACUAGUAGUCUUGCAAUUGGAUUGAGAACAAUGUACAACUCUUAUCGAUAAGCCAUUGGAGGGCAAGUCUGGUGCCAGCAGCCGCGGUAAUUCCAGCUCCAAUAGCGUAUAUUAACGUUGUUGCAGUUAAAAAGCUCGUAGUUGAAGUGUGGGUGGUGCCAUCUGUGAAGCUUCGGCUUCUAGGAUACUCACUACCCCCUUCCAGUAUCCAGUAGUGGGUAUUCAGUUACUUACUAUUGUGUGUUGGUCAUUUACUGUGAGAAAAUUAGAGUGUUCAAAGCAGGCGUUUGCUUGAAUAGAUUAGCAUGGAAUAAUAAUUGAAGGCUUUCGUGUUCGAUUUGAUUGGUUUGUUCAUGGAAGCAAGGUUAAAAGGAACAGUUGGGGGUAUUCAUAUUCACUAGUUAGAGGUGAAAUUCUCGGAUUUAUGGAAGAUGAACAAGUGCGAAAGCA
rnacentral:rRNA from 1 species